GACGAACGCUGGCGGCGUGCUUAACACAUGCAAGUCACGGGGGCCCGCAAGGGUAACCGGCGAACGGGUGCGUAACACGUGAGCAAUCUGCCGUCCACUGGGGGAUAGCCGGCCCAACGGCCGGGUAAUACCGCAUACGCUUGCCGGGUGGCAUCACUUGGCAAGGAAACCUCCGGGGGUGGACGAGGAGCUCGCGGCCUAUCAGCUAGUUGGUGGGGUCACGGCCCACCAAGGCGAUGACGGGUAGCUGGUCUGAGAGGAUGGCCAGCCACAUUGGGACUGAGAUACGGCCCAGACUCCUACGGGAGGCAGCAGUGGGGAAUAAUGCGCAAUGGCCGCAAGGCUGACGCAGCGACGCCGCGUGGGGGAUGAAGCAUUUCGGUGUGUAAACCCCUGUUGCCCGGGACGAACCUCCCCUUUCGAGGGGACUGACGGUACCGGGUGAGGAAGCACCGGCUAACUCCGUG
rnacentral:rRNA from 1 species